rfam:Dipodomys ordii contig_25819, whole genome shotgun sequence.
GUGAAUGUAGCUUAGUGGUAGAGUGCUUGCCUAGCACGCAUGAAGCCCUGGGUCCAAUUCCUCAGCACCACA